ensembl:piRNA 21ur-4523 ncRNA
UAAUCUUACAUUAUUGACAGU